rnacentral:rRNA from 1 species
UGGGGAAUAUUGGGCAAUGGGCGCAAGCCUGACCCAGCAACGCCGCGUGAAGGAAGAAGGCUUUCGGGUUGUAAACUUCUUUUAUCAGGGACGAAGCAAGUGACGGUACCUGAUGAAUAAGCCACGGCUAACUACGUGCCAACAGCCGCGGUAAUACGUAGGUGGCAAGCGUUAUCCGGAUUUACUGGGUGUAAAGGGCGUGUAGGCGGGACUGCAAGUCAGAUGUGAAAAUUAUGGGCUCAACCCAUAACCUGCAUUUGAAACUGUAGUUCUUGAGUGAUGGAGAGGCAGGCGGAAUUCCGUGUGUAGCGGUGAAAUGCGUAGAUAUACGGAGGAACACCAGUGGCGAAGGCGGAUUGCUGGACAGUAACUGACGCUGAGGCGCGAAAGCGUGGGGAGCAAACAGGAUUAGAUACCC